rnacentral:rRNA from 1 species
GAUGAACGCUGGCGGCGUGCCUAAUACAUGCAAGUCGAGCGAACAGACGAGGAGCUUGCUCCUCUGACGUUAGCGGCGGACGGGUGAGUAACACGUGGAUAACCUACCUAUAAGACUGGGAUAACUUCGGGAAACCGGAGCUAAUACCGGAUAAUAUAUUGAACCGCAUGGUUCAAUAGUGAAAGACGGUUUUGCUGUCACUUAUAGAUGGACCCGCGCCGCAUUAGCUAGUUGGUAAGGUAACGGCUUACCAAGGCAACGAUGCGUAGCCGACCUGAGAGGGUGAUCGGCCACACUGGAACUGAGACACGGUCCAGACUCCUACGGGAGGCAGCAGUAGGGAAUCUUCCGCAAUGGGCGAAAGCCUGACGGAGCAACGCCGCGUGAGUGAUGAAGGUCUUCGGAUCGUAAAACUCUGUUAUUAGGGAAGAACAAAUGUGUAAGUAACUAUGCACGUCUUGACGGUACCUAAUCAGAAAGCCGCGGCUAACUACGUG